rnacentral:misc_RNA from 1 species
AAGUCGUAACAAGGUUUCCGUAGGUGAACCUGCGGAAGGAUCAUUAACAAAUGUGAAAUAUUUAUUAUAUAUACGAGCAAUGCAGUCUUUUGACUGGCAUAUAAAAUAAACACCUUAUUUGUAGUAAUAAAAACAUAAUUUAUAUACAACUUUUAACAAUGGAUCUCUUGGCUCUC